rnacentral:rRNA from 1 species
AUUGAACGCUGGCGGCAGGCUUAACACAUGCAAGUCGAGCGGAGAUGAGGUGCUUGCACCUUAUCUUAGCGGCGGACGGGUGAGUAAUGCUUAGGAAUCUGCCUAUUAGUGGGGGACAACAUUCCGAAAGGAAUGCUAAUACCGCAUACGUCCUACGGGAGAAAGCAGGGGAUCUUCGGACCUUGCGCUAAUAGAUGAGCCUAAGUCGGAUUAGCUAGUUGGUGGGGUAAAGGCCUACCAAGGCGACGAUCUGUAGCGGGUCUGAGAGGAUGAUCCGCCACACUGGUACUGAGACGCGGCCCAGACUCCUGCGGGCGGCAGCAGUGGGGAAUAUUGGACAAUGGGGGGAACCCUGAUCCAGCCAUGCCGCGUGUGUGAAGAAGGCCUUAUGGUUGUAAAGCACUUUAAGCGAGGAGGAGGCUACUGAGACUAAUACUCUUGGAUAGUGGACGUUACUCGCAGAAUAAGCACCGGCUAACUCUGUGCCAGCAGCCGCCGCCGUAA